GACGAACGCUGGCGGCGUGCUUAACACAUGCAAGUCGAACGGAAAGGCCCUUCGGGGUACUCGAGUGGCGAACGGGUGAGUAACACGUGGGUGAUCUGCCCUGCACUUCGGGAUAAGCCUGGGAAACUGGGUCUAAUACCGGAUAUGACCUUGGGAUGCAUGUCCUUUGGUGGAAAGCUUUUGCGGUGUGGGAUGGGCCCGCGGCCUAUCAGCUUGUUGGUGGGGUUAAGGCCUACCAAGGCGACGACGGGUAGCCGGCCUGAGAGGGUGACCGGCCACACUGGGACUGAGAUACGGCCCAGACUCCUACGGGAGGCAGCAGUGGGGAAUAUUGCACAAUGGGCGCAAGCCUGAUGCAGCGACGCCGCGUGAGGGACGACGGCCUUCGGGUUGUAAACCUCUUUCAGCACAGACGAAGCGCAAGUGACGGUAUGUGCAGAAGAAGGACCGGCCAACUACGUGCCAGGCAGCCGCGGUAAUACGUAGGGUCCGAGCGUUGUCCGGAAUUACUGGGCGUAAAGAGCUCGUAAGUGGUUUGUCGCGUUGUUCGUGAAAACUCACAGCUCAACUGUGGGCGUGCGGGCGAUACGGGCAGACUAGAGUACUGCAGGGGAGACUGGAAUUCCUGGUGUAGCGGUGGAAUGCGCAGAUAUCAGGAGGAACACCGGUGGCGAAGGCGGGUCUCUGGGCAGUAACUGACGCUGAGGAGCGAAAGCGUGGGGAGCGAACAGGAUUAGAUACCCUGGUAGUCCACGCCGUAAACGGUGGGUACUAGGUGUGGGUUUCCUUCCUUGGGAUCCGUGCCGUAGCUAACGCAUUAAGUACCCCGCCUGGGGAGUACGGCCGCAAGGCUAAAACUCAAAGAAAUUGACGGGGGCCCGCACAAGCGGCGGAGCAUGUGGAUUAAUUCGAUGCAACGCGAAGAACCUUACCUGGGUUUGACAUGCACAGGACGUGCCUAGAGAUAGGUAUUCCCUUGUGGCCUGUGUGCAGGUGGUGCAUGGCUGUCGUCAGCUCGUGUCGUGAGAUGUUGGGUUAAGUCCCGCAACGAGCGCAACCCCUAUCUUAUGUUGCCAGCGCGUCAUGGCGGGGACUCGUAAGAGACUGCCGGGGUCAACUCGGAGGAAGGUGGGGAUGACGUCAAGUCAUCAUGCCCCUUAUGUCCAGGGCUUCACACAUGCUACAAUGGCCGGUACAAAGGGCUGCGAUGCCGUGAGGUGGAGCGAAUCCUUUAAAGCCGGUCUCAGUUCGGAUCGGGGUCUGCAACUCGACCCCGUGAAGUCGGAGUCGCUAGUAAUCGCAGAUCAGCAACGCUGCGGUGAAUACGUUCCCGGGCCU
rnacentral:rRNA from 1 species